CUUUACGUUUCUCAAACGCAACUCGAGGUACAUGAGGAAUCAGGACGCACGGCUACAGCAGAGAAAAUUAUUAACUACGAAAGACGGAUUAGAAACAGUUUAGUUUCUCUUGACUCUGUGUUUCGAAAGAAUUCUAACUGUGUUUUAAGCUUUUAUCCAGACUUUAUUUCCAUGUGUUUGAAACCGACCAUCGAAACCUUCACUUGUGAGAUGUCUGUCGGAGAAGCAAAUAUGGAUCCUGAAAACGUCGUUUUAAAGCCGCAGAAACGAAAGAAAUUACGAAGACUUAAGAAAAGGAAGUAUUUUACUCCUCUGGGUUUCGACUUAAUGCAGGAGAACGGGAGACCGAUGAAGCAAAGGAGAACAAAAACCGCCGCGCCUCAGAAUACCACGCAAUUCAUCAUGGAGGAUAAGGAGGUGACCGAACCGUUUUAUGUAAUUUCUUCUCCUUCCACUUCACCAGUUAGUCACUGUACAAGUUCUCCAGGGUCAGUACGAGGUUCACCUUUAUCGGACAGAGACUUAGCUUUCGAUUCUACUGAAGAAGAUCUCGUUCGCGAUUUCGAGGACCUUGAUUUCGAUUUGGAUUUUUUCCAAAAAGAUUUCGAAGCCACAUACAAUCGUAUUCAGGAGGAAAGCUUAUUGGAGCUCUCUAAAAUCGAACUUGUUAAUAAGUUUAGAGAGCUUGAAGGAAAAGGAGAGAUUCUUCAAAAACGUUGUGAGGAAAUUGGAAGAGUCGGCACUCAUGGACAGCAAAAGUCAUCUACGGCAAAAAAUUCGUAUGUUGUAUCACCAAACGCUUUUCCCGCUCCUGCCGAAAAAUCACAGGACGAAAGUACUUUGCUUUGUUAUCUGGAAGAGUUACGGCGUGAAAAUAAAUCAUUGGUGGAAGAAAAUUUGAGGUGAUGUGUGGUGCACUUGGGUCAUGAAUGAUACCAGUGGCAUUGCCUGUGGAUUACACCACACACUCCAGAAUUAAAGGACAACUGAUACUUCCUUCCUAUCAGCUGAGUGUUGGUGGAUGGAACCUGGAGUGUCCAUUACCCAAACAACACCUGCUGCUCAGAAACAGCUAAGUAUGAUCUUGCUGUUGUUCUCUUGGAAGUGGCUCUUCCGUAAUGGGUAGUGGGUUUAUCUGAAAAAGGGACCUUGGUUCAUUUGAAAUUGUUUGUAUGUGAAAUCCCGUUCAAAACUACCCAGUCAUGAAGCUUCUGUUGUUUCUCAAUUCCAAGGUCAUGUUAGACAGAACAAAUCUGUGAAUGUGUUAUUAGAAUGAUAACAUUUUCCACUUUCACCUCAUAGCAAGAUAAGUAAAUAUUUGGUCCAUAGUGCAACUUGCCUAGAAAACCCCAUGGAUCUGCUAUCAGCAACUCUAUUAUGUGACAUGUUUAUUUCACAAGGGAAGAACUGAUGGAAAUUUGGCGUGCAGGGAGGGGGUGUUAUUAUGUGAUUGUGCUGUAUUUGCUUUGUUACAGAAUUGGAGAGGGAAGAUUUGGAUAUGCAGCCCUUUGGCAAGAUUGUGUUGAAAUUUUGGUGAAAUAUGACAUUGAUUUACCUCUAAAUGGCCUGUGUUAUCUCUGAAAGAUAAGAAAAAUAAAUGAAACAGUGUUCUUAACUGA
rnacentral:misc_RNA from 1 species